GUACAUUAUUUGCUUUAGGAAUGUAGUGAAGUAAAAGUUGUCAUGAAUAUAAAUAGUAAAGUACAGAUACCUCAAAAAUGACAUAAGUAGUACUUUAAAGUAUUUUUACACCACUGUCCUGUGGAAGACUGGAGAGUAAGACAGGUACUUCCUUUUUCACAUCCAGUAACGAGAAGGUCACAGGGCUCCUCAUAACCACACAGGAAAUGACCCAUCAUGUCUUGUACAGCAGCAACGGACUGACAUAGUUUAUAAUCUGACUGGAAGACAGCGUAUAGAGUCAUGUCCAACAGCCUAGUUACUCAGCUGACUGGAAGACAGCGUAUAGAGUCAUGUCCAACAGCCUAGUUACUCAGCUGACUGGAAGACAGGGUAUAGAGUCAUGUCCAACAGCCUAGUUACUCAGCUGACUGGAAGACAGGGUAUAGAGUCAUGUCCAACAGCCUAGUUACUCAGCUGACUGGAAGACAGGGUAUAGAGUCAUGUCCAACAGCCUAGUUACUCAGCUGACUGGAAGACAGAGUAUAGAGUCAUGUCCAACAGCCUAGUUACUCAGCUGACUGGAAGACAGGGUAUAGAGUCAUGUCCAACAGCCUAGUUACUCAGCUGACUGGAAGACAGGGUAUAGAGUCAUGUCCAACAGCCUAGUUACUCAGCUGACUGGAAGACAGGGUAUAGAGUCAUGUCCAACAGCCUAGUUACUCAGCUGACUGGAAGACAGGGUAUAGAGUCAUGUCCAACAGCCUAGUUACUCAGCUGACUGGAAGACAGAGUAUAGAGUCAUGUCCAACAGCCUAGUUACUCAGCUGACUGGAAGACAGGGUAUAGAGUCAUGCCCAACAGCCUAGUUACUCAGCUGACUGGAAGACAGGGUAUAGAGUCAUGUCCAACAGCCUAGUUACUCAGCUAACUGGAAGACAGGGUAUAGAGUCAGAGACUUAGUACUUUAUUUCCCCCAACUCGAUUAAACAGCAGUUGAAAUGCAACACAUUGAAUCAGUUUCUAAACUAUAAAUCAUUGGGAUAAUUGGCCAUGAUGACAAAGAUCUUUGUCAAAGAACCAAACUGCCCUUUGUUCUACCUGUCAAACAGCAGGCUGUGUGUGUUACUGUGUUCGGUCAGGUAGUUCCAGAUUCAGGAAAUGAGAGAGCUGUGUGUGUCACUGUGUUCGGUCAGGUAGCUCCAGAUUCAAGAAAUGAGAGAGCUGUGUGUGUUACUGUGUUCGGUCAAGUAGCUCCAGAUUCAGGAAAUGAGAGAGCUGUGUGUGUUACUGUGUUCGGUCAAGUAGCUCCAGAUUCAGGAAAUGAGAGAGCUGUGUGUGUUACUGUGUUCGGUCAGGUAGCUCCAGAUUCAGGAAAUGAGAGAGCU